CGACGGUCAUUUUUUCGCCGUGCUAUUGUAAAAUUGUCUUUUAUCUGUGUUUUGUGUUCUGGGGGACCCCGACUCCAGAAUGUGAAAGUUUCCCGCGUGAAGCCGUGGAGCUCGAGAUCCUGUUUACUGUGGACUAGCUGUGUGUGACGCCCUGUUGUUUUUGUUUCCAUUACAAAAAAAAAGCUCCACCGUCUCGCCGAGUGCCAGCAAGAGUCAUGAGUACUUGUCAACUCGACUCCUCAACUGGAGAUAACUUUCUAGCACCUCACCAUGGGGAAGGAUGUAUUCAUACGCCUUCACCAGCACAUGCAUUAAACAUGCAGAGAGUUACACAAGUUCUUACCACCUUGGGGCACCAUUCAGGGUGCCUUUUCAUCUGAUUAAAUUUAUAAUGAACAGGGACAUUGCGGUUGUCCCAAGUGGAUGGUAUGAUGAUAGGAUGGUUUUCUGGCCCAGCUAUAAAAACACACCGACAGAAUUGAAAGGGCCGCUUUAAAUGAGGAGCAGCAUGAGCCAAACUGGCCAAGAUUUGACGUUUCUGUUGUCCGAACUUGUGACAACUACAAAGACGCAUUAAAAAUAAUGCAACAAUAUGGAAAGGGCUGCAACACCUCAGACCUGCAAUCUGAGGCAGAGAAUGAGGAGCUGCCAGAAAAAAAGGAACAGGAAGCCAGUCCAUCGUCUCGGGGACUCAGAUGAUAGCGAAGAAGACCCGGGAAAUAGUGACCUCACAUCUCUGGGGUUGGCAAGCCAAUUGCACAGGCAGACUCCACCGUCUCGCCGAGUGCCAGCAAGAGUCAUGAGUACUUGUCAACUCGACUCCUCAACUGGAGAUAACUUUCUAGCACCUCACCAUGGGGAAGGACGCAUUCAUAUGCCUUCACCAGCACCUGCAUUAAACAUGCAGAGAGUUACACAAGGUAGGG